rnacentral:lncRNA from 1 species
CUUAAAUCAACACUAAUCAGGAGACAUUACACAACAUCAUUAAUAGAUGAUGGGAUUAAAUGAGCAAAGGAAAUAGACAUACAAACAUUAAGGCAAGUUAUCCGAAAUACCGCACAAGAUUUAAAAGAACUCCCAUACAUCUCUACACAAAACCCAAGAAACAAUGAGGCAUUCAACAUCAUCCAAAAUCUACUCAUUCUCACUGGAGAUAGAACACUGAAUGAAAUUUUAGGCUCACCCAAAAUUAUCAAAAGCAAAAUGCAACUGAAAUCAUUGAAAAAAAUAUUAACUAGUGGAAGACUAUAUAUAUCCUUUAAGAACAGAACCAAAAGUGAAAAAAUGCGGGCAGCCUAACCAUGGCACAUGUCCCCACCUUUUGGAGGGUACAGAAUUUCAGAAAUAUUUAGGAUAAAAUCAAAUUUCACUUGUGCCUCUGAAAAUUUAUUACCUGCUUAGUUUGUGGAAACCACUACAUAGGCCAAACAGAAAUGUCUUUCAGACGAAGAACAGCACUUCACAAAGAACAAAUCUGCUUCCCACAAUAUAGACAGAUACAGGUCAGUGAGCAUAUAGAUAUAUUGUGCUAGGAAACUUAAACCAAACUUCUUAAUUUUCCCUCUUUUUCAAUGUUCCCAAAACACCUAAGUGCAGCAAAGAUUAUAUAAAGAGGCAACUUUCUUUAACAAAUAUCAACCACAACUUAACAUGAACACACAACUUAAUACAGGAGACUACUAACCUUACUAAUACCAAUAAUCCCACUAAUCCUCAUACAUCCCAUAUACCAUUCAUAUUCUAGUAAUCAUAUUUACCUUAAAUGCAUCACUUUCAGAACUGCUUACCACCCUUGCAUGCAAUCUUUUCCCUCAUGUACUAUUAGAUCCAACACCGUUUGGAAAUUAGUGUUGAUUCAAAGUCAGUAAUAAGCUCUGAAGAAACCGGUAUGACUUUGAUUUUCUAUACUGACUCAUAAUAAUGAUUUUUAUACUUCUUAACUCCACCCCAAAUCAUUUAUUUGUAUAUAUCUUUCAUCAUCAUCAUCAUCGUUUAACGUCCGCUUUCCAUGCUAGCAUAAAAAAGCCAUUACUUUUAUACUUAAUGUGCAUUUUUGUUUUUUUUUACUUUCCCCUUAUAUAUAUAUAUAUAUAUAUAUAUAUAUAUAAACAAACAGGGUAGUGCAAAAGUGAAUAUACAGUUAUGAAGACAGAAAGCAUGUGCAAAACUCAUUUUUAUCAAAAGAAUUAAAACUUGUGACAAAAGUGUUAUAAUUAUGAUAAAUGUAUUAUUAUGGUUAAUGACACUGAAAAUAUCAAUAUAAUAAUUAUAAUGUGCUAAUAAUUUUAAUGAAUUAAGUAUUAUAACAUUGAUGUGAUACUUACUGUAUACCUACUUUUGCACUCCCUGUUUAUAUAUGUGUGUGUGUGUGAGCGUAAGAAGGUUGAAUUAGAUUUGUCCUUUAAUUUGGAGGUUUCUAAAAAGAAUUUUUCUAAUAUAGAUUCUUCAUAUUUUGCUGGUAGCUUACUGGUGCAAAAUUGCGAAUAUGAAAAUAAUACUUGUAUAUGUGUGCUGUGAAUUUAUGGAAAGAAAUCCCAUAAAGCUCAACAAUUUUGAUAAAAAUGGAGAAGAAAAGGUGUUCACACCUUCUUUUCUCCAUUUUUAUUAAAAUUGUUGAGUUUUAUGGGAUUUCUUUCCACAAAUUCACAAUGCACCAUAUGUAUAUACAUAUGUGUCCAUGAGUUGAGCGGUGAUGAGCAAGCAAACCAGCAGAGAGUGUGGCUCGUUGAUUUUUGUUGUCAAUUAAAGCAUGCGGAACUCAUGCUCCAUACUUCUGAACCUUUCCCAUCGAGUGAAGAUGCUUCUCUAUAGCAGUGUGGGAGCAUUCUAUUUUCUCUGCUAGUUCCCUUGUUUGAUGAGAAUUUUCAUGCAAAAGUUGGUUUAAUUGCUCUUCAUCGAACUCAACUGGACAGCCAGAACAAGGUGCAUCUUUGAGGUCACAAUUUCCAUUUUUGAACUUGGCAUACCAAUCACGAGCGGUUCUUUCAGCUAUGGCACUCUUUCCAUACACAGCACAAAUGUCGCGAGCAGCUUUUGCGGCCUUAGAACCUUGAUUAAAAGUAAAAAGGAGGUGUCGAAAGUGCUCGUUUUUUUUAACUUGACAUUUCAUUUUAAUGAUCUGAAAAUAAACAAAAAUUAACUAAAAAACAACAAAAUAGAUUCCAAAAUUUAAAAACGCAAUAAAUUGCAAAAUUAAAAAAAAUGGCGGGAACUUAGUUGCCAACCUAAUAUAUCUUUUAAGUUAAAUAAAUUUAAAAUUCUUCCAGAUUAUUAUGCAUGUUUUUUAUGUUGCUCUCAUCUUUAUUCUUUAGAUUAUCUUGAAACUGGACUGUUUGCUGAGAUGGUGGAAAACAUGCCAUAAACUACAUAAAUACGAAGAAAAAUGGAAAAACAUCAUCAUUCAAGAAAUCUUGUCUGCAUUUAAGUGAGAAAUGAAAACUAUUAAUUUAUAAAAUUUAAUUUAUAUUCAUCCGCAUUUCCCUACAAGUACAUACAUAUGCAUACAUACAUAAGUGUGUGAGUGUGAUAUAUAUAUAUAUAUAUAUAUAUAUGUACAUAUGUAUACACACACAUAUAUAAUAAUAAUAAUAGGUCUGCAUGAUUUACUCUGACAUGACAUGGCAUCAUCUACAUUGAAUUCUCAACCAUGGACAAGCCAAAGCAAUUCAGGGAUUCCAAGUCAAUGGAAAGUCUGUGUUGUCUGCAAAAAAACUGGACAUUUCAAGUCUCCAAAGGAGUUCUGUUAUCAUCUGCGGAGUUUUCAUUGUUCCAAAGAAGGUGGAUCUUACGUUUGUCGAUAUGGUGUAAAUGAGGUGUGCCCUUCCUUACCCCUAGAAGGUGUAAGUGACAAAGACUAUGAAGAUCAUGUUGUCCGGGACCAUGUCUAUGCUGGAUCAGGUAUGUGUGUUAUGCACUGUAUUACAGGUGAAAUUUC